rnacentral:lncRNA from 1 species
AGGUAGGAUUGGUUUGGUUUUGGUUCCCUGGGGGUGGUCCACAGUAUAGUGGCCUGGUAGUAUGGUUUUCCAAAGUUUCAACACUGCUUUUAGGGAUGAUCUCAAAUGUUGACACAAGGUUUAUGUCAAAAAUAUGAGUUAAGCAGAGAAUUUAUAGAGGGUUAUAUUUUUUAUAGUCUAUUUAACAAUUUUUUUCGAUCAAUACUUGGUUACUCAAGAAUGAGUAUGAACUACUAUUAAAAUUUUCUCAAAAUUGUUUGUUGUCAAUUUAUAAAAUUGGUGUUCAUAAUUAGAACAGUUCAUAUUAUAAAUCACCCUAUAAAGAUCGUCUCUGCAAAAAAUCAAUUAAAACUAGGGCUGUUUAGUCAUCAAACUGUUUAAAAACAAAUGAAUGAAAUUGGUAAAAGCAUCAUAAACCGUCUAUGUAUUUACUACAAUAAAUUGACUAAAUGACCUUAGUUUUAAUUUUUUUUUCCAAAGAUGAUUUUUACAGUGUGAUUCAUAGUAUGAACGGUUUUGAUCAUAAACACAAAGCUCUGUGAUUAAAACACUCAGAGUUUUGACUAGGAGUUCCUACUUCUCUUUGAAUAGCCAAGUAUUUUUUUUUUUUGGAGUUUUAAUGAAAAACCCGUGGUACUAUUCACUUUAAUGAAAAAUCACAUGUUUACACUAAAAAGUCAAACCUAAUACUAUUCACUUUACCUUUUAUUUUGUCCUUAUUGUUAAAACUCAAAGUUUUCAAGCUCUUUUCAUUAAUUUUAUUUUUUUGCUCUUUUGGUUGGGCAACAAAAAGCAGUUAGUGUUUAAAAUAUUCACAAAUUGUCUCCAAAUAUUCAAAAAGUCAAAGAUUGAUAUGGAAAAGAAAGUAAAAUACAAACUUCACCUUAUAUCGGGCAAGAUAUAGAAAAAUUACUGAAUAUCAAUACUAUUUAUCGAUUUACUACAUAAAUUUUGUUGAACGAACCACAUGUUUCGAAUUUUUGAAUUCUUUUUGAUUUUUUUUAGCAAAUUUUGACUAAAUGAGUAGAUAUAAGAACUCCAUUGUAAAUUUCUAUAAUCUUUUACAAAAAAACGAUAUUGAUUUAUUCAUCUAUAUUUUUAUAAAUUUGUAUGUUGAUAUUUCUAUUUAUAUCGAUGUUUUAAUCACUAAAUAUGGAAAUGAAUCAUCUCCGGAUCCCUUCCUUCUAACUUACCAAGUUAGAGAAUUCGGGUCAUUGAAAUUUUAUCCAAUGGUUAAAAUUAUUAUAACUUUUAAAACGGAUACUUGUUCGUAGCUGUUAAAUCAAAUUUCAAUUAAAUAUAUCAUCCAAACAAUAUACUCGUUAGUCCAAACUGGAGAACCUGACCAUUACGUGGUUUUCAGCACGGGUCCUAUCAAACAUUUCUGGUCUCCAAAACCAAAAGUUAAAAGUAACAAUAAUUUUCACCUAUUCCAUGUCGAAGUCCGAGUUGGGAAUUAUCGGUUUAAUAACUUUUUUAUUUUAUAGGUAUGCAAGAGAUAUUUGUUAAGGACAUUUUAAAGAGGAACUAGCAUCUGUAAUCUAAUUUGGCUUUACCUAAAAAUCUCUUGCAGUAAACCAAGACACAAGUACACUUGUAACACAUCCAAAUCUAUUGACAACUGCUACAUACAUUUGAGUUAAUUUGGUUUGGUUUUCUUUUAAAAGUUCUAAAAGAUCAGCAAAUUACUAGCAUUGAUCCAACAAAGCAAUUGUGAUAAUAAGGAUGCACUAAUACAAAUAGAGGUGGAGCCAGGAAAUAGGGCACUACGAGGGAAGAAAUUGUACAACAAGGCAUGAAGUUGUGUCUAGUAUAUUAGAGCUUUUAAAAAAAUAGAACGAGCCAAGGCCACUUGAAGCCCUAACUAAAGCUCGCCUUUAUUAGAGAUGUAGUACCAAUGUGCAUCUAAAAUGUGAUGAGCAAAUAUUUUGUAUAUUUAAUAUCGAUUUUAAUUUUCUUUACUGUGUCAUCGAUACGUGGAAUGAAAAAGAUUGUUUAUUAUUCUUUUCUCAAAUUUGUAAAAGGUAAUGUUUGUUUGUACCAUACUUAGGGCCCCUGUAUUUAGAUCUCGUAUAAAUACUCGGGGGACUCAAAUGUAAUUAUGUAAUAAAUGAAGGGGCAAAUAUGUAAUAAGUGAGGAGCCCUUAUUCUAUAAAAUGAAUCCUCAACUCUCCUCAUUAAGGGAGGGCAAUUCUUAGGCUUGUAGCCAUCUCACCCUCAAGCUCUCAUCCUCACAUACAGAGGCUCUCACCCUCUCAUCCUCAAUCCUCUCAUAGAAAUACAAUAUCAGUGUGGACGUAGCCCGAACAUUAGGGUGAACCACGAUACAUCUUGUGUUCUUUACAUUUCUUGCAGAUUCACGGUCGAAUUUACAUUGUUCCAAGACUUUCGGUUUUGUGCAUCAACAUUUAGUGCCGUCUGUGGAAAUCGACACGAAAAGCUAUGUCGGUUCUCUUUCAUUUUUUCAUCUCACCACUGUG